UACGAGGGGGGCGAGCGUUGUUCGGAAUUAUUGGGCGUAAAGCGUGCGCAGGCGGUUUGUUAAGUCUGUUGUGAAAUCCCCGAGCUCAACUUGGGAAUUGCAAUGGAUACUGGCAGGCUGGAGUAUGGUAGAGGAAGGUGGAAUUCCCGGUGUAGCAGUGAAAUGCGUAGAGAUCGGGAGGAACACCAGUGGCGAAGGCGGCCUUCUGGACCAAUACUGACGCUCAUGCACGAAAGCGUGGGGAGCAAACAGG
rnacentral:rRNA from 1 species